rnacentral:rRNA from 1 species
GAUGAACGCUGGCGGCGUGCCUAAUACAUGCAAGUCGAGCGAACGGACGAGAAGCUUGCUUUUCUGAUGUUAGCGGCGGACGGGUGAGUAACACGUGGAUAGCCUACCUAUAAGACUGGGAUAACUUCGGGAAACCGGAGCUAAUACCGGAUAAUAUUUUGAACCGCAUGGUUCAAAAGUGAAAGACGGUCUUGCUGUCACUUAUAGAUGGAUCCGCGCUGCAUUAGCUAGUUGGUAAGGUAACGGCUUACCAAGGCAACGAUGCAUAGCCGACCUGAGAGGGUGAUCGGCCACACUGGAACUGAGACACGGUCCAGACUCCUACGGGAGGCAGCAGUAGGGAAUCUUCCGCAAUGGGCGAAAGCCUGACGGAGCAACGCCGCGUGAGUGAUGAAGGUCUUCGGAUCGUAAAACUCUGUUAUUAGGGAAGAACAUAUGUGUAAGUAACUGUGCACAUCUUGACAGUACCUAAUCAGAAAGCCACGGCUAACUACGUG